rnacentral:rRNA from 1 species
CCAAUAGCGUAUAUUAAAGUUGUUGCAGUUAAAAAGCUGGUAGUUGAAUUUCGGGAUCAAUACGUCGGUCGUGCUUUCGGGUACGUACUGGCGUCAUUGGUUUCUCCUUUCUGACGAACCAUGAUGUCAUUAAUUUGGUGUUAUGGGGAGUUAGGACUGUUACUUUGAAAAAAUUAGAGUGUUUAAAGCAGGCAUUAGCUUGAAUACAUUAGCAUGGAAUAAUGAAAUAGGACGUUCGAUCCUAUUUUGUUGGUUUCUAGGAUCAACGUAAUGAUUAAUAGGGAUAGUUGGGGGCAUUAGUAUUCAAUUGUCAGAGGUGAAAUUCUUGGAUUUAUUGAAGACUAACUACUGCGAAAGCAUUUGCCAAGGAUGUUUUCAUUAAUCAAGAACGAAAGUUAGGGGAUCGAAGACGAUCAGAUACCGUCGUAGUCUUAACCAUAAACUAUGCCGACUAGGGAUCGGAUGAUGUUAAUUUUUUAAUGACUCAUUCGGCGCCUUACG